rnacentral:rRNA from 1 species
UACGUAGGGUGCAAGCGUUGUCCGGAAUUAUUGGGCGUAAAGAGCUCGUAGGCGGUCUGUCGCGUCUGCUGUGAAAACUCGGGGCUUAACCCCGGGCCUGCAGUGGGUACGGGCAGACUAGAGUGCGGUAGGGGGAGACUGGAAUUCCUGGUGUAGCGGUGAAAUGCGCAGAUAUCAGGAGGAACACCGGUGGCGAAGGCGGGUCUCUGGGCCGAUACUGACGCUGAGGAGCGAAAGCGUGGGGAGCGAACAGG